rnacentral:rRNA from 1 species
UACGUAGGUGGCAAGCGUUGUCCGGAAUUACUGGGUGUAAAGGGAGCGCAGGCGGGAAGCCAAGUCAGCUGUGAAAACUACGGGCUUAACUUGUAGACUGCAGUUGAAACUGGUUUUCUUGAGUGAAGUAGAGGUUGGCGGAAUUCCGAGUGUAGCGGUGAAAUGCGUAGAUAUUCGGAGGAACACCGGUGGCGAAGGCGGCCUACUGGACGGUGACUGACGCUGAGGCUCGAAAGCGUGGGGAGCAAACAGG